rnacentral:snRNA from 1 species
AUACUUACCUGGCACAGGAGUGACUUUGAUCAAGAAGGAAUGUCCUCCCAAGGUGAGGCCUCAGCAUUGCACUUGGCUGAGGUUGACCCUUGCGAUUCCCUCAAAUGUGGGGAACUCGGGUGUAUAAUUUAUGGUAGCGGGGGACUGCGUUCGCGCUAACCCCUA